UACGUAGGUGGCAAGCGUUGUCCGGAUUUACUGGGCGUAAAGCGCGCGUAGGCGGCUUUGCAAGUCGGGUGUGAAAUCCCCAGGCUUAACCUGGGAACUGCAUUCGAGACUGCAUUGCUAGAGUAUGGGAGAGGGAAGUGGAAUUUCCGGUGUAGCGGUGAAAUGCGUAGAUAUCGGAAGGAACAUCAGUGGCGAAAGCGACUUCCUGGACCAAUACUGACGCUCAUGUGCGAAAGCGUGGGGAGCAAACAGG
rnacentral:rRNA from 1 species